GGGGUUGAUAUAGGGAGGUGAAGAGAGAGAGAGGGAGAGAGAGAGAGGGAGGUGGAGAGAGAGAGAGAGAGAGAGAGAGCGGGAGAGAGGGAGAGAGAGAGAGAGCGGGAGAGAGGGAGGGGGAUAGAGAGAGGGGUUGAUAGAGAGAAAGAGGGAGGGGGGAGAUGUUGAGGGAAGGAGGGAGGGAGAGAGAGUAAUGCAGAUCCCAACCACCUGAGCGUUACUCCGUUACAAUCCUUCACACACCAGUGGGUAAAACAUGAUCUAAACACAGUGACCUCGAGUGAACCCCUCUGGUGGUCGUACAUGGUAUGACUCUCAGUAGUCACCACGUGAAGGAGGGUGGAGCCGUCCAGAUGAGCUGAGUGGAGACUGGUGCACUCUGGGUAGUGUAGUGUUGGUAGGGAACAGAGAGGAGGAGCAUCUGUCAGUGCAGCUGCUGUUGUUACAUUGAGGGGAUUUUGCUGAAAUUUUUAUCCAAAGCGACUUGCAACUGUUCAUUCCCCCCGCGGAGUCGACCCCCCAGGGCGACAGCCAGCAGAUCAACGGCGUCUCUCUCAGGGACACCUCCACACUCGGCUAGGAGGAGCCGGGGAUCAAACCAGGGACCUUCAGGUUACCAGCCGACCCGCCCGACCUCCUGAGCUACUGCUUCCCAGUAGCUGUUGUGUCUCCACCGGACCAGGUCUCCACCGGACCGGCAGUGUCCAGGUCUCCACCGGACCGGGAGGGUCCAGGUCUCCACCGGACCGGGAGGGUCCAGGUCUCCACCGGACCAGGUCUCCACCGGACCAGGUCUCCACCGGACCGGCAGUGUCCAGGUCUCCACCGGACCGGGAGGGUCCAGGUCUCCACUGGACCAGGUCUCCACCGGACCGGCAGGGUACAGGUCUCUAGUGGACCGGGAGGGUCCAGGUCUCCACCGGACCGGGAGGGUCCAGGUCUCUAGUGGACCAGGAGGGUCCAGGUCUCCAGUGGACCGGGAGGGUCCAGGUCUCCACCGGACCGGGAGGUGGUCUGUCUCUUCAUGGCGCGGACGGCGACGGUGUUGCUGUGGGCCGUGCUGAGCGGUCUGGCGGCGGGGCAGCAGGUGGUGGUGGUGGUGAAAGGUGAAGAAGAGGUCCACCUGCCUUGUCCGCUGUGGGCCGGCUCCCACAACUCCACCCGCAGCUCCACCCGCAGCUCCACCCUCAGCUGGUACCAGAGGAAGGAGCAGAGGGUGCUGCUGGUCCUCGGCUCCACCCUGAACCCCACCCUGACCCCCCGACCCCGGCUGGUGUACGGUCGGGGGUUCGGUCCGGACCGCUUCACCCUGCACCCCCGUCAGCCCGGAGACCUCCUGCUGCUCCGCCCUCAGCCCGGCGAUGCAGGGGUCUACUUCUGCUGCGUCAGCCGACGGACCAAGAUCACAUGACCAAUGACAUCAUCAUGUUAACAUCCUCAUGACAUCAUCAUGUUAACAUCCUCAUGACAUCAUCAUGUUAACAUCCUCAUGACAUCAUCAUGGUAACAUCCUCAUGACAUCAUCAUGUUAACAUCCUCAUGACAUCAUCAUGUUAACAUCCUCAUGACAUCAUCAUGUUAACAUCCUCAUGACAUCAUGUUAAUAUCCUCAUGACAUCAUCAUGUUAACAUCCUCAUGACAUCAUCAUGUUAACAUCCUCAUGACAUCAUCAUGUUAACAUCCUCAUGACAUCAUGUUAACAUCCUCAUGACAUCAUCAUGUUAACAUCCUCAUGACAUCAUCAUGUUAACAUCCUCAUGACAUCAUCAUGUUAACAUCCUCAUGACAUCAUGUUAAUAUCCUCAUGACAUCAUCAUGUUAACAUCCUCAUGACAUCAUCAUGUUAAUAUCCUCAUGACAUCAUCAUGUUAACAUCCUCAUGACACCAUCAUGUUAACAUCCUCAUGACAUCAUCAUGUUAACAUCCUCAUGACAUCCUCAUGUUAACAUCCUCAUGACAUCAUCAUGUUAAUAUCCUCAUGACAUCAUCAUGUUAACAUCCUCAUGACAUCAUCAUGUUAACAUCCUCAUGACAUCAUCAUGUUAACAUCCUCAUGACAUCAUCAUGUUAAUAUCCUCAUGACAUCAUCAUGUUAACAUCCUCAUGACAUCAUCAUGUUAACAUCCUCAUGACAUCAUCAUGUUAACAUCCUCAUGACAUCAUCAUGUUAACAUCCUCAUGACAUCAUGUUAACAUCCUCAUGACAUCAUCAUGUUGACAUCAUCAUGUUAACAUCCUCAUGACAUCAUCAUGUUAACAUCCUCAUGACAUCAUCAUGUUAAUAUCCUCAUGACAUCAUCCUCCCAUGUAUCAUAACAUCCUUCUCAUUGUAUGGACUCUGUCUAAAUACAAACAUUACCCUCCUAACUCUGUGUUAAUGUGUCAUAUAUAUUAUACAUAAUACACUACAGAAGAUAUACAAUUAUACAAUAUAUAUUAUACAUAAUACACUACAGAAGAUAUACAAUAAUACAAUAUAUAUCAUAUAUAUUAUACAUAAUACACUACAGAAGAUAUACAAUAAUACAAUAUAUAUCAUAUAUAUUAUACAUAAUACACUACAGAAGAUAUACAAUAAUACAAUAUAUAUCAUACAUAUUAUACAUAAUACACUACAGAAGACAUACAAUAAUUCAAUAUUUAUCAUUUUAUUGUAUAUCUAGUGAUAUCCACUCUACUUAUCGUCUCUUCUCUGGUCUAAACUUGAAAAUAUUCUUUCUCCGUGACGACCACAAGACCGUGACGACCACGAGCCAGCAGCUGCGUCCUGUUUGCUUCAUCCAGCUAACAGUCUGAAUCCAUCCACCAACGGCACAGCCAUAAUUGGGCUUCUGUCGUCUCUUCCUGGGAGUAGUUCUGGUGGGAGGAGUCAGUGUUAUCGCGGAAAAACUGGCAUUCCAUUCAACAGGAAAACCUCAUCAGAUAUUACUUGGGACCAUUGGUGUGACCAGGCCCGACCAAGGCCCCGGAGCAACAUGAAGGCCCAGAGUUUAACCUUCUUCCUGCUGGGGCUGCUGACGGGCGGUGCUCGGUGUCUGCAGAGCGUGGUCUUCAGUCCCGAGGUCCUCCUCCUAGUCCACGGCCCCCCCCCCGGCCCCCCAGAGGUCCGGGUCCUUGCCGGGCCCCAGGAGGGGGUCCUGGUUUGUUUGGUGUCGGCGCUCCGGGCGGGGCCGGUCCUCAUAUCCUGGAGGGUCUACCCCACCGGCCCCGGGACCCCCGUGACGCCCCCAGGACCCCUGCUGGUCUGGACCCGGGCGGACCCCCCUGGCUCCUACAGGGCCUCCAGGGUCUGGACUCGGACCGGCCGGGGGACUUCCGCCUGGUACUGCUGCGGGGCCACCCAGGGGCCCCCUACCCCCCGGGACCCAGGGACAGAGGGCCCCCCUUCCCACAGAGACCCAGCCUCAGUAGCACCACCUGCUGGUCCUGGUCUGGAAGAUGGGGACCCGGACUUGGAGGCCUGCUGUCACGGGGCGCGCUAGGUCUCUUCAAAGGGUCUAGGUCUCAUCAGAGGGUCUAGGUCUCAUCAGAGGGUCUAGGUCUCAUCAGAGGGUCUAGGUCUCAUCAGAGGGUCUAGGUCUCAUCAGAGGGUCUAGGUCUCAACAGAGGGUCUAGGUCUCAUCAGA